UACGAAGGGGGCUAGCGUUGUUCGGAAUCACUGGGCGUAAAGCGCACGUAGGCGGAUCUUUAAGUCAGGGGUGAAAUCCCGAGGCUCAACCUCGGAACUGCCUUUGAUACUGGCGAUCUUGAGGCCGGGAGAGGCGAGUGGAAUUCCCAGUGUAGCGGUGAAAUGCGUAGAUAUUGGGAAGGAACACCAGUGGCGAAGGCGACUCGCUGGACCGGUUCUGACGCUGAGGCGCGAAAGCGUGGGGAGCAAACAGGG
rnacentral:rRNA from 1 species